GACGAACGCUGGCGGCGUGCUUAACACAUGCAAGUCGAGCGGGAUCCAACCGGUGGCAACACCGGGGAAGAUCUAGCGGCGAACGGGUGAGUAACACGUGAGCAACCUGCCCCGAAGACUGGGAUAACACCGGGAAACCGGUGCUAAUACCGGAUGUCGUCAUUAGGCCGCAUGACCUGAUGAUGAAAGGAUUCAUCGCUUCGGGAGGGGCUCGCGGGCUAUCAGCUUGNGGUGGGGUAACGGCCUACCAAGGCGACGACGGCUAGCUGGUCUGAGAGGACGACCAGCCACACUGGGACUGAGACACGGCCCAGACUCCUACGGGAGGCAGCAGUGGGGAAUCUUGCGCAAUGGGCGAAAGCCUGACGCAGCGACGCCGCGUGAGGGAUGACGGCCU
rnacentral:rRNA from 1 species